AGUUAGAUUAGAAAAGACCUUUGAGAUCAUCGAGUCCAACCUGAGCCAGAAUACCACCGUGUCAACCAGACCACGGCACUGAGUGCCACGUCCAGUCUUACGUUAAACACCCCCAGGGACGGAGACUCCACCACCUCUCCUGGCAGCUCCCAAUGCAUAAUUGCCACUUCUGUGAAUAAAUUCCUCCUAAUCUGGGAGCGCUCUGUACUGCCCAUCCCGAAGGUGUCCAGAGCUGCCUCGGGCUCCCGUCGGCGUUAUAAAACAUAAACGAAAACCCCAAAAAGCCCACACUUGUAUGCCAAAGGGUAAAUAAGCGCACAAGCCCCGCGCUCUCUGCCAGGCCCCCGCGCGUGCCGGUGAUGGCGCAGGACACGGUCUGAGGGAUCGCAGAGCCCUGUCAGCGCGCCCGCCCCUCAGAGGGGCUGUCGCAGGCACAGGUGACACUGGCGCGGUCCUUCCCUAGCCUUCUCGGCCCCUGAGCCGUCCCAGAGGUUACGGACCCUCCACGAGUUUUCCUCAAAUCUCUGAGGGCUCGUCCGUGAGGAAAUGCCCCAACCCGGCAUUUCCCUUCGGUGCAUUUGGACUCCGUCGGGCCGCACACCAUUACGGGAUAGGAGUGGAAGGGAAAUGCAGGCACGUGCGUGUUUUUAAUGGAAAAUCAGGGGGUGUUGAUCCAAAACCGGACAUUUGUGAGGCGGACUUCCCUUGCCGCUCACCCUCAGGGCUGAGCACUCUGCAAUCCACGUAAGAGCCGAAGCAGGUAUUUGGGAAGAGCCUAGACUAAACACAGAAUCCCUACUGCAGCCUGCAAGAGGAGUCUACAGGCGGGAGGAGAUUCACAGCCCUGAGCGAAAUAGGAAAAGAAGACAAAAAUUGACCUCUCAAUUUAAGAGAGGGGCAGAAAUACAUUCUGCCUAGAAAAUGUUGCAGCUUUGAGCUCUGGUGCCAAAUCCCGUGCUUGAAAUUGAGCAUCUUCCAGAGAGGAGUGCAUCAGCUUCCAGAAGGUGAGAUGUGUAGAAGAUUCCUUGUUGCCAUGCAAAGGAGCUGAGCCAAGGACUAACAACAGUGGUCUGAACUACAAUAGGAAGGGGGAGCACGUCUGUGCUUGCACAGAAGUAUCCCACGUCGGUGCAAAAUGGGCCCGUGGAUUCCUCCAUCCCUCCUGGGUAUUUCAAUUAAAAGCCGAGAAGGAAGUCCAAGAAAAUGCCUAAAAUGGCUUGAGUCCUUCCUCACGAUCUGGAAAUGGAAGUCUGCGGUGACUAACUCCAGCCCAGCCACCAAACCCCUCCCUCCCCGACUCUGCAUUGCUCUGCUCAUUCCCAGCUCCUCUCCCGCGUUUGCAAACAGUCGGCAGUGGAAACGGUGAAGCAGCCUGGCUUCGAGCGCCAGCUCCACACGAGUGGUAUGCGACUGCAGCAGGGACUGUCACCAGCCCAUCCCCGUGCCUAACCUAGGAAGAAGUGGUUAAAAUCUGACGGGGGCAAGGCUUGAU